GGUCGUGCUCCACGUGUUGUCGGCAAAGUAACUAUAUUCUUUAACUUUUACUUACAUUUGCCUUGGUGGCUUUAAGACCUUUGUGGUCAUUUAUAUAUGCCUUGGUGGAAAUAGACCUAGGUGGUCAUUUAUAUAUGCCUUGGUGGCAAUAGACCUAGGUGGUCAUUUUUAUGAUUUUUUACAUUUGCCUUGGUGGCAAAAUUGAAUUAAAAAUACUAGCCUUGGGGGCGUCAAGACCUUGGUGGUCAUUUAUAUUCGGCUUGGCGGCUUCUUGAUAGAACUAGAUGGUAAUUAAUGUUUGACCUUGGUGGCAGAAUGUUUUGGGAUGUAGACCUUGGGUAGUUAUUAUCAACCCAGUUGGUCAGAUAUGUGUUAUGCCGUGCGGGGCAAAGUGCUAUCGCUAUAUAAAAUAUAUGUGGAAGUGGGGGCUCUGGCCAUCUUGGAAACCUGUAGUUGAAAGGAGAAUAAUAAAUUGUUUAUAAAGGGUAAAAACAUGUAGUUUCUUUUGUUACUUUUGAGUGUUGCGGACUUGUCAUUGAUUAUUACAUCGUACAUACUUAAUUACAAUGAUUGUGCAAACAUUAAUACAAAAUGCUCUUUAAAGACUUAGUUAGAAAAGAAUGGACUUAUUGAGAAAGUGAAAUAAUUAAGUGUGAGAUGUCACUUGAAUUGAAUUAUAAGGUGUCUUCGUCGAGGUCCGCAUAGAAAUGAAUAUAAUGUUUUUGUUUUCAGAUGGUGUUACCUACAAUGAAUGAAGGAGAAGCGAUAUGACAUUGCACGAUGAUUCAUGUCAAUGAGUUCGAACAACCUAAAAGGAAAGGAUUUUUUCUGAUCAGAAUAUGGUGAGAAUAAAUUGUAAUUUAAGUAAUGUUUUUAUUUCUGAAAAUAGGAAAAUAAUGUAUCUGUGAUGGAAGCAGCUUUAGGUUCAAAUGAACCUAUUUAAAAGUAAUUCUAAUAAUUUGUCCGUAAUUUCAUGAUGUUUACUAUUGGAUGUGAAUAUAAUUUCAUUGAUGUGUUGAAAUAUGUCACAAAAAUCUUUUUGUCUUGGGAGAUUAAAUAAUUGCAAUAAUUUUGUUUUGUUUUGUUUUAUUUAAUAAAUACAAUGUUGAAUGAUUUUGUAUACUAGUACAAAUGUUUACUUAAAUUUUAUGUAUGGUUAAAAUUUUUAAUUUAAAUUUCUUUGUCUGCAGUUCGAGGGACACUGAUUCCCUGGUGGUUUUCCACGUGAAUUGUAGGCAAAGGGAUUUUUUCCUUUUCAAAGUGCGACUAAUGCUGUCUUAAGUACAAAUAAACAAUUUGUCAUUGGUUAAUAUAUUUUCAGCAGACAUGUGAAGAAUCAAGUGGAAAUACAAUUGUCAAUGUUCCUGAUUAGGAAGUAAAGAGUGUGGUUGAUUCAACAACAGUAAAGAAAGAGACAAGCCAGCAUAGUUUACACUUGGAGGUGAAGUCCCUUUGCUUACAAG
rnacentral:lncRNA from 1 species